rnacentral:rRNA from 1 species
UAGCCGUAAACGAUACUCGCUAGGUGUCGGCCACGGUGCGACCGUUGUCGGUGCCGUAGGGAAGCCGUGAAGCGAGCCACCUGGGAAGUACGGCCGCAAAGCUGGAACUUAAAGGAAUUGGCGGGGGAGCACAACAACGGGUGGAGCUUGCGGUUUAAUUGGAUUCAACGCCGGAAAACUCAUCGGGAGCGACAGCAGUAUGAUUGCCAGGUUGAUGACCUUGCUUGACAAGCUGAGAGGUGGUGCAUGGCGUAGUCGUGU